CCUACGGGAGGCAGCAGUGGGGAAUAUUGCACAAUGGGGGGAACCCUGAUGCAGCGACGCCGCGUGGGUGAGGAAGUACUUCGGUAUGUAAAGCCCUAUCAGCAGGGAAGAAAAUGACGGUACCUGACUAAGAAGCCCCGGCUAACUACGCGCCAGCAGCCGCGGUAUUACGUAGGGGGCAAGCGUUAUCCGGAUUUACUGGGUGUCAAGGCAGCGUAGACGGCGUGCCAAGUCUGAUGUGAAAGGCCGGGGCUCAACCCCGGGACUGCAUUGGAAACUGGCAUGCUUGAGUGCCGGAGGGGCAAGCGGAAUUCGUGGUGUAGCGGUGAAAUGCGUAGAUAUUAGGAGGAACACCGGUGGCGAAGGCGGCUUGCUGGACGGUAACUGACGUUGAGGCUCGAAAGCGUGGGGAGCGAACAGGAUUAGAUACCCCAGUAGUC
rnacentral:rRNA from 1 species